UACGGAGGGGACUAGCGUUGUUCGGAAUUACUGGGCGUAAAGCGCACGUAGGCGGAUUUGUAAGUCAGGGGUGAAAUCCCGGGGCUCAACUCCAGAACUGCCUUUGAUACUGGCGACCUUGAGUCCGGGAGAGGUGAGUGGAACUCCGAGUGUAGAGGUGAAAUUCGUAGAUAUUUGGAAGAACACCAGUGGCGAAGGCGGCUCACUGGCCCGGUACUGACGCUGAUGUGCGAAAGCGUGGGGAGCAAACAGGG
rnacentral:rRNA from 1 species